GUUUCUAGAAAGGAUGAAAACUCCGUUUUAUGUAUGGUAUGUAAAAGGUAAUCGUUGUUUACUGUUUAUUUUGUAUUCAGGUAUGGGGAAUUUAAGCGAUGAGAGUUGCAAAACUUGCAAAUGUAGUCCGACUAGUCUCUUUUAUGUCAUCAUGCAACUAUUUGAUAUUGUGCUACAUUCAUUAUUCAAUUUAUUUGCAGCAAUUAGCUUUCUGUAAACC